CGGACGGGUGAGUAACGCGUGGGUAACCUGCCCUGUACAGGGGGAUAACAGUUGGAAACGGCUGCUAAAACCGCAUAACAUGGAGAUACCGCAUGAUAUCUCCAUCAAAUAUUUAUAGGUACAGGAUGGGCCCGCGUCUGAUUAGCCAGUUGGCAGGGUAAUGGCCUACCAAAGCGACGAUCAGUAGCCGGCUUGAGAGAGUGACCGGCCACAUUGGGACUGAGACACGGCCCAAACUCCUACGGAAGGCAGCAG
rnacentral:rRNA from 1 species